rfam:Ciona savignyi cont_33097, whole genome shotgun sequence.
GGUAGCAUGGCCGAGCGGUCUAAGGCGCUGGUUUAAGGCACCAGUCAUUUCGAUUGCGUGGGUCCGAAUCCCAUUGCUGCCA